UUAGGAAUAUUGCGCAAUGGGCGAAAGCCUGACGCAGCGAUGCCGCGUGUGUGAAGAAGGCUCUAGGGUUGUAAAGCACUUUCAGUCGUGAAGAAAUUUAUUUCGUUAAUACCGAAAUGAUUUGACGUUAACGACAGAAGAAGUACCGGCUAACUCCGUGCCAGCAGCCGCGGUAAUACGGAGGGUACGAACGUUAAUCGGAAUUACUGGGCGUAAAGCGCGCGUAGGCGGUUUGUUAAGUGGGAUGUGAAAGCCCCGGGCUCAACCUGGGAACUGCAUUCCAAACUGGCAAACUAGAGUGUGGUAGAGGGAAGUAGAAUUUGAUGUGUAGCGGUGAAAUGCGUAGAUAUAUCAAGGAAUACCAAUGGCGAAGGCAGCUUCCUGGACUAACACUGACGCUGAGGUGCGAAAGCGUGGGGAGCAAACAGG
rnacentral:rRNA from 1 species